rnacentral:rRNA from 1 species
AGCGGACGUUAGCGGCACGCUUAACACAUGCAAGUCGCACGAGAGUGGAGCAAUCCAUGAAAGUGGCGCACGGGUGCGUAACACGUAGAUAAUCUGCCCUAAAGAGGGGGAUAACGUUCCGAAAGGAGCGCUAAUACCGCAUACAGCAGUUGGUGGUUCGCCAUCGAUUGGCAAAGGCUGGGAUCGCAAGACCAGUCGCUUUAGGAGGAGUCUGCGGCCCAUCAGCUAGUUGGUAAGGUAACGGCUUACCAAGGCAAAGACGGGUAGCUGGUCUGAGAGGAUGAUCAGCCACACUGGUACUGGAACACGGACCAGACUCCUACGGGAGGCAGCAGUGGGGAAUCUUGGUCAAUGGGCGAAAGCCUGAACCAGCGAUGCCGCGUGAGUGAUGAAGGCCUUCGGGUUGUAAAGCUCUGUGGGGCGAGACGAAAGCCUACGUUCUAACAGGACGUAGUUUGACGGUAUCGCCUUAGCAAGCACCGGCUAACUCUGUGCCAGCAGCCGCGGUAAGACAGAGGGUGCAAACGUUGCUCGGAAUCACUGGGCGUAAAGGGCGCGUAGGCGGACAAGUAAGUCGGGCGUGAAAUCCCUAGGCUCAACCUAGGAACUGCACUCGAAACUGCAUGUCUUGAGUACCGGAGAGGAAAGCGGAAUACCUGGUGUAGAGGUGAAAUUCGUAGAUAUCAGGUGGAACACCAGUGGCGAAGGCGGCUUUCUGGACGGUAACUGACGCUGAGCGCGAAAGCGUGGGGAGCAAACAGGAUUAGAUACCCUGGUAGUCCACGCUGUAAACGAUGAGCGCUAGGUGUCGUGGGUAUUGACCCCCGCGGUGCCGAAGCUAACGCAUUAAGCGCUCCGCCUGGGAAGUACGGUCGCAAGACUAAAACUCAAGGAAUUGACGGGG